rnacentral:rRNA from 1 species
UACGUAGGGGGCUAGCGUUGUCCGGAAUCAUUGGGCGUAAAGCGCGCGUAGGCGGCCCGGUAAGUCCGCUGUAAAAGUCAAAGGCUCAACCUUUGAAUGUCAGUGGAUACUGCCGGGCUAGAGUCCGGAAGAGGCGAGUGGAACUCCUGGUGUAGCGGUGGAAUGCGCAGAUAUCAGGAAGAACACCGGCGGCGAAGGCAGCUCGCUGGGACGGUACUGACGCUGAGGCGCGAAAGCGUGGGGAGCGAACAGG